AACGAGCGCAACCCUUGUCACUAGUUGCCAGCACGUAAAGGUGGGAACUCUAUGGAGACUGCCGGUGACAAACCGGAGGAAGGUGGGGAUGACGUCAAGUCCUCAUGGCCCUUAUGGGUAGGGCUUCACACGUCGUACAAUGGUCGGUACAGAGGGUUGCCAACCCGCGAGGGGGAGCUAAUCCCACAAAGCCGAUCGUAGUCCGGAUCGCAGUCUGCAACUCGACUGCGUGAAGUCGGAAUCGCUAGUAAUCGUGGAUCAGCAUGUCACGGUGAAUACGUUCCCGGGUCUU
rnacentral:rRNA from 1 species